UUAAAUGCUGGAGAUUGGUUCUGUGCCAAGACAAGAAAGGUUCCUAUCCUCAGAAAGCUUGUGUUCUAGCUGGGAAAAGGCAUAAAAUAAGCACAGUCGCACACAGGAAUAUGACAAAAAUGCCAGCUAAUAGUGAAUAACAUGCAGAUGAUAAUCUUAGAGUAAAUGUAAAACGGGAGUGGGUGACUGUUUUAUAUUGAGUGCUUUGAGAAGGCAUCUAUCUCUGAAGGUGUGACAUUUAAGCUGAGGCCUUGGGAAAAAAUGUCUGACCUCUUUGAGCUACAAGUCUCCCAUCUGUAAUAUGGGAAACAUUAAGAUGUGCCCAGACAACAGGAUUUUAGAAAAGAGCAAAUGAGACUGUAAAAGUAAAGAACUUAGUGUCCACUAAAAAUCUUGCAAGUGCAAAGAUUUAACAAACAAGUGUUCCAUUCCUCUAUGAUGAUACUACACUUGAUUCAGGAUUUCUCAACACAUGCUUGAGUCAGGGUCAUAACAAUAAUGGCUUAAGUUUACUGAGCUCUUUUUUACUAUAUGCCAGGCAGUAUUCUCAAUAUUUUGCAUGUAUUAAGUGAUUUCAUUUUCUCAACACCCCUAUGAAGCAAAUACUUCUGUGAGCCCCAUGUUACAAAUGGAGAAACCAAGGCUCAUGGAGAUUAACAUAUCUCAUUUUGGACUAGCCAUCUUUCAAGAGCUCAACAGCCACGUGCUAUUAAUGGCUACCACAUUAAAGGCUCCAAGUCUAGAUGGAAAAUAAACAAGUAAACCUAUAAACACAGUUAAUAGAUGUUUUUCAGCUGCAAUCUGUACUGUGACUGGAAUGAGAAAGCCUUAAUUCAUACCAUCUUCCGAUGAUACAAGACAAGCAAGUUUGUAAUUUAAUAAACGCAGUCAAACCUGA